rnacentral:rRNA from 1 species
AGUCGAGGGGCAGCAUUUUAGUUUGCUUGCAAACUAAAGAUGGCGACCGGCGCNNUGGUGAGCUAACACGCUAUCCAACCUGCCGAUAACUCGGGGAUAGCCUUUCGAAAGAAAGAUUAAUAUCCGAUAGUAUAUUAAAACCGCAUGGUUUUACUAUUAAAGAAUUUCGGUUAUCGAUGGGGAUGCGUUCCAUUAGCUUUGUUGGCGGGGUAACGGCCCACCAAGACUACGAUGGAUAGGGGUUCUGAGAGGAAGGUCCCCCACAUUGGAACUGAGACACGGUCCAAACUCAUACGGGAGGCAGCAGUGAGGAAUAUUGGUCAAUGGACGAGAGUCUGAACCCAGCCAAGUAGCGUGAAGGAUGACUGCCCUAUGGGGUGUAAACUUCUUUUUAUAUNGGGAAUAAAGUUAUCCCACGUGUGGGAUUUUGUAUGUACCAUAUGAAUAAGGAUCGGCUAACUCCGUGCCAGCAGCCGCGGUAAUACGGAGGAUCCGAGCGUUAUCCGGAUUUAUUGGGUUUAAAGGGAGCGUAGGUGGAUUGUUAAGUCAGUUGUGAAAGUUUGCGGCUCAACCGUAAAAUUGCAGUUGAAACUGGCAGUCUUGAGUACAGUAGAGGUGGGCGGAAUUCGUGGUGUAGCGGUGAAAUGCUUAGAUAUCACGAAGAACUCCGAUUGCGAAGGCAGCUCACUAGACUGCAACUGACACUGAUGCUCGAAAGUGUGGGUAUCAAACAGGAUUAGAUACCCUGGUAGUCCACACAGUAAACGAUGAAUACUCGCUGUUUGCGAUAUACAGUAAGCGGCCAAGCGAAAGCAUUAAGUAUUCCACCUGGGGAGUACGCCGGCAACGGUGAAACUCAAAGGAAUUGACGGGGGCCCGCACAAGCGGAGGAACAUGUGGUUUAAUUCGAUGAUACGCGAGGAACCUUACCCGGGCUUAAAUUGCAUUUGAAUAAUCUGGAAACAGGUUAGCCGCAAGGCAAAUGUGAAGGGGCUGCAUGGUUGUCGUCAGCUCGUGCCGUGAGGUGUCGGCUAAAGUGCCAUAACGAGCGCAACCCUUAUCUUUAGUUACUAACAGGUCAUGCUGAGGACUCUAGAGAGACUGCCGUCGUAAGAUGUGAGGAAGGUGGGGAUGACGUCAAAUCAGCACGGCCCUUACGUCCGGGGCUACACACGUGUUACAAUGGGGGGUACAGAAGGCAGCUACCUGGCGACAGGAUGCUAAUCCCAAAAACCUCUCUCAGUUCGGAUCGAAGUCUGCAACCCGACUUCGUGAAGCUGGAUUCGCUAGUAAUCGCGCAUCAGCCAUGGCGCGGUGAAUACGUUCCCGGGCCUUGUACACUAAAAACCGUCAAGCCAUGAAAGCCGGGGGUACCUGAAGUACGUACCGCAAGGAGCUCCUAGG